rnacentral:lncRNA from 1 species
CAUUGUCAAAUAACUCAUACAUAAGUGUACUCUAAAGCCAAUACUAAAUACUAAUUGAAAAACUUGGUUAUCAACUGUUUGCACUAAUAUUGAGCCUAACUAAGUAUAUAUGAAUUCAAGUCUCCACACUUAUGCGGCCACCAAAAAUUGUGUUACAUUCCAUCUUUUCAUGUAAAAUAAAUAGGAGAAGACAAUAAUUAGUAGUUAGACACAUUUGAACACCUCAUAUUGUGACAUGUCACAAAGGUCAUAUAGAUGUGUAUAAAAUGAUAGAAUUAUGCUAGAUUUUGGAUCUAUCAAAAUAACUUACCUUCUCUGAAACUUUGCUGGAAGCAGGCGCGCUGACAAUUGAUGAGACAAUUAUUUUUGCCACAUUUGAGAAAAACUUUCAUUUGGGUCAAGCAGAUUUGACGGACCAAGAAAUAGUAUCUGAAGAAGCAUCCGACACUCUCCCAUC